AGCAGCAGGUGGUUCUUCUCUCCUCGUAUCUUUUUUGUGUCUUCUUCUUGCUUCACAUCUCGCUCUCGCGCUCUCUCCUCCUCCCCCAGAACUCCACCUUCCCCCGCUCGCCUGCGUGCUUCGGCAACAGUCGCUUUCGGACUUCGGUUUCCCUCCACCGGCGCUUCAAAGCCUACAACGAUGGAAAAAGGAAGUUAGCACCUUCAAGGGUACUCAAACGUUGCUGCACCGGACAUCGUGUCGUGUAUCAUUGUAUGAAGCACACCCAGGUUAGCAAAGGCAUGCCAGAUUCUACAUGUUCAAAGAAUGACAACAUUUAGUCCAUCAUGAAAUACAUUAAGGUAUGAGGCUCCAUCACUUUUGGUCCUGAGACUUUUAUGUACAUAUUAACCUGAUGUUUAAACCUUCCUAAAACAGUGUCUAUGCAAGAAAAGCUAGGUCACUUUUGAUCAGUAGACUCUUAUUUGCACCUUACACACAUAUAAAAGGCCUCAUCACUUUUGGUCACAAGACUUUUAUGUACAUAUUAACCUGAUGUUGAAGCCUUCGUAGAACUAUGUGUGUAUGCAAGAAAAAUUAUGUCACUUCUGGUCAGUAUACUGACUGUUAGAGCCUUUCUACAACUAUACUUGCCUAUGUAAACUCUGCAGAUACACUAUUACUGGACACUCAAGUAUGCUAGUUUAAUGU